GUGGGGAAUAUUGGGCAAUGGGGGAAACCCUGACCCAGCGACGCCGCGUGAGGGAAGACGGCCUUCGGGUUGUAAACCUCUUUUGUACGGGAAGAAGGAAGUGACGGUACUGUACGAAUAAGUCCCGGCUAACUACGUGCCAGCAGCCGCGGUAAUACGUAGGGGACGAGCGUUGUCCGGACUUACUGGGCGUAAAGGGCGCGCAGGCUGUGCUGCAAGUCAGCUGUGAAAUGUCUGGGCUGAACCCGGACAUGCGGUUGAGACUGCAGUGCUGGAGUGCUGUAGAGGCAAGUGGAAUUCCCAGUGUAGCGGUGAAAUGCGUAGAUAUUGGGAAGAACACCGGUGGCGAAGGCGACUUGCUGGGCAGCAACUGACGCUGAGGCGCGAAAGCCAGGGGAGCAAACGGGAUUAGAUACCCCUAUAGUCC
rnacentral:rRNA from 1 species